AAGAUAAAGAUAUAUGAAGUAACAGUACAUUCAUAUAAUCACAGAGCUAAUCAUACUGAACUAUAUACCAGUAUAGAGAUGUAAUCAUCCUGAACUACACUACUGGUCAAACAUUUUAGAACACCUACUCAUUCAAAGGUUUUUCUUUAUUUUUUUUACAUUGUAGAAUAAUAGUGAAGAUCAAAACUAUGAAAUAACACAUGGAAUCAUGUAGUAACCAAAAAAAAGUGUUCAACAAAUCAAAAUAUAUUUUAUAUUUGAGAUUAGACAAAUAGCCACCCUUUGCCUUGAUGACAGCUUUGCACAAUCUUGGCAUUGCACACCUUUUUGGUUACGACACAAUUCCAUGUGUUAUUUCAUAGUUUUGAUGUCUUAACUAUUAUUCUACAAUGUAGAAAAUAGUAAAAAUAAAGAAAAACCCGUGUAAUCACACUGCACUACAUGCCCAUGUAGAGGUGUAAUCACACUGCACUACAUGCCCGUGUAGAGGUGUAAUCACACUGCACUACAUGCCCGUGUAGAGGUGUAAUCACACUGCACUACAUGCCCGUGUAGAGGUGUAAUCACACUGCACUACAUGCCCAUGUAGAGGUGUAAUCACACUGCACUACAUGCCCGUAUAGAGGUGUAAUCACACUGCACUACAUGCCCGUGUAAUCACACUGCACUACAUGCCCGUGUAGAGGUGUAAUAUAAAUGCAACAUGUAAAGUGUUGAUACCAUGUUUCAUGAGCUGAAAUAAAACAUCCCCAAAAUGUUCCAUACACAAAAAGCUUAUUUCUCUCCAACUUUAUGCAGAAAUUUGUUUACAUUAAUGUUA